rnacentral:tRNA from 1 species
GUUCUUUUAGUAUUAGACAGUACAGCUGACUUCCAAUCAGCUAGCCUUGGAUAAGCCCAAGAAAGAAUA